rnacentral:rRNA from 1 species
UACAGAGGUCUCAAGCGUUGUUCGGAUUCAUUGGGCGUAAAGGGUGCGUAGGCGGCGCGGUAAGUCGGGUGUGAAAUCUCGGAGCUUAACUCCGAAACUGCAUUCGAUACUGCCGUGCUUGAGGACUGGAGAGGAGACUGGAAUUUACGGUGUAGCGGUGAAAUGCGUAGAUAUCGUAAGGAAGACCAGUGGCGAAGGCGGGGUCUCUGGACAGUUCCUGACGUGAGGCACGAAGGUCAGGGGAGCAAACGGGG